rnacentral:rRNA from 1 species
GACGAGUGGCGAACUGGUGAGUAACACGUGGGUAACCUGCCCCGAAGCGGGGGAUAACAUUUGGAAACAGGUGCUAAUACCGCAUAACAACCAAAACCACCUGGUUUUGGUUUGAAAGACGGCUUCGGCUGUCACUUUGGGAUGGACCCGCGGCGUAUUAGCUAGUUGGUGAGGUAACGGCUCACCAAGGCGAUGAUACGUAGCCAACCUGAGAGGGUAAUCGGCCACAUUGGGACUGAGACACGGCCCAAACUCCUACGGGAGGCAGCAGUAGGGAAUCUUCCACAAUGGACGCAAGUCUGAUGGAGCAACGCCGCGUGAGUGAUGAAGGGUUUCGGCUCGUAAAACUCUGUUGUUGGAGAAGAACGGGUGUCAGAGUAACUGUUGACAUCGUGACGGUAUCCAACCAGAAAGCCACGGCUAACUACGUGCCAGCAGCCGCGGUAAUACGUAGGUGGCAAGCGUUGUCCGGAUUUAUUGGGCGUAAAGCGAGCGCAGGCGGUUUUUUAGGUCUGAUGUGAAAGCCUUCGGCUUAACCGGAGAAGUGCAUCGGAAACCGGGAGACUUGAGUGCAGAAGAGGACAGUGGAACUCCAUGUGUAGCGGUGAAAUGCGUAGAUAUAUGGAAGAACACCAGUGGCGAAGGCGGCUGUCUGGUCUGCAACUGACGCUGAGGCUCGAAAGCAUGGGUAGCGAACAGGAUUAGAUACCCUGGUAGUCCAUGCCGUAAACGAUGAGUGCUAAGUGUUGGAGGGUUUCCGCCCUUCAGUGCUGCAGCUAACGCAUUAAGCACUCCGCCUGGGGAGUACGACCGCAAGGUUGAAACUCAAAGGAAUUGACGGGGGCCCGCACAACCGGUGGAGCAUGUGGUUUAAUUCGAUGCUACGCGAAAAAACCUUACCAGGUCUUGACAUCGUCU